GGAGUUUGGUCCGUGUCUCAGUACCAAUGUGGGGGACCUUCCUCUCAGAACCCCUACUGAUCGUUGCCCCGGUGGGCCGUUACCCCGCCGGCAAGCUAAUCAGACGCAUCCCCAUCCCUUACCGAUGAAUCUUUGUUCCGAAUUAGAUGUCUGCUUCGGAAAACAUAGGGUAUUAAUCCGCAUUUCUACGGGCUAUGCCCUACUAUGGGGAAGGUUGGAUACGCGUUACUCACCCGUGCGCCGGUCGCCAUCAAAGAAAGCAAGCUUCCUUCAUGCUGCCCCUCGACUUGCAUGUGUUAAGCCUGUAGCUAGCGUUCAUCCUGAGCAAUGAUCAAACUCU
rnacentral:rRNA from 1 species